rnacentral:rRNA from 1 species
AGAGGUGGCAAGCGUUGCUCGGAAUUACUGGGCGUAAAGGGCUCGUAGGUGGCCAACUAAGUCGGACGUGAAAUCCCUCGGCUUAACCGGGGAACUGCGUCCGAUACUGGUUGGCUUGAGUUUGGGAGAGGGAUGCGGAAUUCCAGGUGUAGCGGUGAAAUGCGUAGAUAUCUGGAGGAACACCGGUGGCGAAGGCGGCAUCCUGGACCAAUACUGACGCUGAGGAGCGAAAGCCAGGGGAGCAAACGGGAUUAGAUACCCCGGUAGUCCUGGCCCUAAACGAUGAAUGCUUGGUGUGGCGGGUAUCGAUCCCUGCCGUGCCGAAGCUAACGCAUUAAGCAUUCCGCCUGGGGAGUACGGUCGCAAAGGGG